AGUGCUAGUCACUCAGUUGGGUUUAAUUCUGUGACCCCAUGGACUAUACCCUGCCAGGCUCCUCUGUCCAUGGAAUUCUUCAGGCAAGAAUACUGGAAUGGGUAGCCUUUCCCUUAUCCAGGGGAUCUUCCCCACCCAGGGAUCCAACCCAGGUCUGCUGCAUUGCAGGCGAUUCUUUACCAGCUGAGCCACAGGGAAGCCCAAUUAAUAAGGGCACUUUUAAAAGAGAGACAGACAGGAAAAAAAAAAGAUUCAAAGCAAAAAAUUAAAACCCCAAACCCCUCUACUGCCUUACCAAAAUUAUCCCUGAGAAACAAUUACAUCGGCUGCUCUAUUCCUACUGUGGAGUAAGGGCCCCGAAGACAACUGUGGAGGAGGGAGCUGCCUGGAUUUUGCCCACAUUCUGAGUCUCUAGCCUCAGUUAAGAAAGAAAAAAACCUGUAGCAAUUAACCGUAGGAUACUGCAUGUGUCCUUUCGGUUUCAUUACUCAGAAACCUCACCCAUAACACAUGGCUGUAAAAACCUGCUCGCCUUUCAACUUUUAAGGAGCAGAGCAGGUUUCCGGAGGAACCAGACUCAAGGGGAGCCCCAGGGAAGAGCCAAAGCAGCUGGGAAUUUGAUACCCCGGUGCUCCAAAGCUAAAAGAAGAAUUAGAAGAAAGCUGCAUGAAUAAAGAUGGGAUCCUUCAUGAUACAGAAAAGACCUCAGCAGAAGAGUGGGCCAGAGGAGAGGCAACUGAGAGGGCAAAGGAACCUCUUGAACAAAAGGCUAAAGAAUUACAGUCAAAGAUGGAGGGCGACAGAAGUGCCAUCUUGAAGGAAGUUAGACUCAAAACGACAAAGAUGAGAGAAAGAGAAAACCUUCUAAGAAGGAUGAACGAGAGGUUUGAGAUGUUGGAGAUCUUGGGGAUGAUAAAGGACGAGCUAGGGGAAUGCUGCAAGAAGACAGAUGAGCUUUGUAAUGCAGCCAAGACCUUGGCAGAAUGCACUAAAGGAGAGCCAUCUGAGAGGGAAAAGGAGCUUCUUGAGCAAAAGUAUAAGGAGAUAAGUCAAAAGGUGGAGGACCAAAAAAAAGACUUCGAAGAAUGUGUAGGCAAAAUGAUAGAGAAAACAAGAGAAAGACAAAAGAUUUCAGCAGAAGAGUAUGCCAAGAGAGUGGCAGCUGAGAGGGAAAAGGAACUUCUUGAGCAAAAGGUUAAAGAGCUGCAAGAACAGCUGGAAGACCAAGAAAGGGUCUCUGAGGAAUUAGGAGUCAAAAAGACAGAGAAGCAAAGAGAAAGAGAAAAGACAUCAGCAGAAAUGCUGGCCCAAUGGGAGGAUGCUAUGUGGGAAAAGAAGCAAAUGGUUAAAGAAUUGCAGCAAAAGUUGGAGGACCGAGAAAAAACGUUCGAGAGAUUUAGAGACAAACUCACAAAGGAAAUGAGAGAAAGAGACGACCUUCUGAGAAAGAUGAAUGAGAGGAUUCAGAUGCUGGAACGCUUACUGAGGUUACUAGAAACACUAGAGGAACAGGACAUGAAGAAAGAAGAGCAGGCCAAAAGAGAGGCAGCUGAAAGGGAAAACGAGCCUCUUGAACAAAAGGUUAAAGAACUGCAGCAAAAAUCGGAGAACCAAGAAAAAGUCUUCGAAGUAUUAAGAGACAAAAUGACAGAGGAGUUGAAUGAAAGAGAGAAAGCCUCAGCAGAAGAGCAGAUCAGAAGAGAGGCUGUUGAGAGGGAAAAUGAGUCUCUUGAAAAACAGGUUAAAGAAUUGCAGCAAAAUUUGGAGGACCAAGGAAGAGUCUUCCAGAGAUUAAGAACUGAAAUGACAGAGGAGAUGAGAGAAAGUGAAAACGUCUCAGCAGAAGAGCAGAUCAGACGAGAGGCCACUGAGAGGGAAAAGGAGUCUCUUGAAAAACAGGUUAAAGAAUUGCAGCAAAAUUUGGAGGACCAAGGAAGAGUCUUCCAGAAAUUAAGAACUGAAAUGACAGAGGAGAUGAGAGAAAAUGAAAAGGCCUCAGCAGAAGAGCAGGCCAAAAGAGAGGCUGCUGAGAGGGAAAAGCUUUUAGAGCAAAAGCUUAAAGAAUUGCAACAAAAGUUUGAGGACCAAGAAAGAGCCUUCAAGGUAUUUAGAGUCCAAAUGACAGAAAAGGUGAGAGAAAGAGACAAUUUUCUGAGAAAGAUGAAUGAGAGGAUUGAGAUGCUGGAGGCUGCAGUGAACAAUGAUAAUGACAAGGAUAAUGAGGAAAACACUGAAAAGUACUGAACUUCAUAGACACAGGAAGAUAAUGACAAAGAAAAUACUUCACAGCCUUUUGUUUUAAUCUCAGUUUGGGAGAAUAUAAAACAUGUGUGGUCACUAAUUACUCAGAUUUUUUGUUUGUUUCUUUUAAAUUCUGGUAAUAUUAAAGUUUUCACAAGUGCUUUUUUGAUCUGGAUUAUUUCUAUCUAUGUAUGUACUUUUUCUUUUAUCAUUAAAGUUUUAAUGUAAAAAAUAGAAAAAUCAUCUACUAUAGAACAUCAAUUCCUGGCCCACAAAGGAAAGAAUUAGUGUGGCUGGAUAAUUAAUUUAAGUGGAAAUGGAAGCAACUGAGUAGAAGACAAAGAGGUCAAAUUUGUAAUAUCUUGAAAAAAAGAAAAAUUUUAUUAAGUAAUGCUUCUGAAAGUCACAUAUGAAUAAUUAUACAAAUGAAUAUGUAUACUGGUUUCUUGAGAGGAAAGGACUAAUUUCUUAUACAAAACAACUGUGUUACUUCACUUGUAAAUUUUAUGUGUUUUGAGUUAAAAUUUCACAAAAGCUGAUUGUAAAUUUUAAAUUGAGCUGAUCAAACACAUUAAAAAGCCAUGAAAAUUCAGAAGGGGUACAGGGUUUGGGAAGUUUUCAGCCAUAAUUUCUUCUAUAAAUGAAGUUUAUAGAACUGCAGUCAUUAGAACAAUGUGCCAUCAAGGCAUAAAUCUGAAGACAAAGAAUAACAGCAUGCUGCAUAGUCUAAAAAUAGAACCAACAACAUACCUGAUUAAGGUUGUGUGAAUAGUGUUGUUUCAGAUCAGUGAGACAAUAUAAACAGUACAUGAAGUGCUGUCAGUCUACUGGACAGCCAUAUAGAAUGAGAGUGCCUAGAUCGCUUAUAAAUCUUGCACAAAUAAUAUUCCAGCUUGACUUUAGAUUUAAACAUUAAAAAUAAUCUUGAUAAAAACAGUAAAUGUCAGAUAAUUAUAAAAUAAAUGUGGAAACUUGAAUUUAUUUUUAAGUGAC
rnacentral:lncRNA from 1 species